rnacentral:rRNA from 1 species
GAUGAACGCUGGCGGCGUGCUUAACACAUGCAAGUCGAGCGAGAUUAUUCUUCGGAAUAGUCUAGCGGCGGACGGGUGAGUAACACGUGGGCAACCUGCCUUGUAGAGGGGGAUAGCCUUCCGAAAGGAAGAUUAAUACCGCAUAACGUUGUUGAAAGGCAUCUUUCGAUAAUCAAAGGAGUAAUCCGCUACAAGAUGGGCCCGCGGCGCAUUAGCUAGUUGGUGAGGUAACAGCUCACCAAGGCGACGAUGCGUAGCCGACCUGAGAGGGUGAUCGGCCACAUUGGGACUGAGACACGGCCCAGACUCCUACGGGAGGCAGCAGCGGGGAAUAUUGCACAAUGGGGGAAACCCUGAUGCAGCAACGCCGCGUGAGUGAUGACGGCCUUCGGGUUGUAAAGCUCUGUCUUUGGGGACGAUAAUGACGGUACCCAAGGAGGAAGUCACGGCUAACUACGUGCCAGCCGCCGCGGUAA